rnacentral:rRNA from 1 species
UACGUAGGGUGCGAGCGUUAAUCGGAAUUACUGGGCGUAAAGCGUGCGCAGGCGGUUCGCCAAGUCAGGUGUGAAAUCCCCGGGCUUAACCUGGGAAUUGCGCUUGAAACUAGCGGGCUUGAGUGCGGCAGAGGGGGGUGGAAUUCCACGUGUAGCAGUGAAAUGCGUAGAGAUGUGGAGGAACACCAGUGGCGAAGGCGACUUUCUGGGCUGUAACUGACGCUGAGGCGCGAAAGCGUGGGGAGCAAACAGG